UCUUUUGAUACGGUGCUGGAUAAAGGUGCUCUUGAUGCUUUGAUGGAACCAGAAGUUGGAACGAAGCUGGGAAGUCAAUACUUAUCAGAGGCCAAACGUGUUCUGAAACCUGGGGGGAAGUUUAUCUGUCUAACGCUGGCGGAGUCUCAUGUCUUAGCAUUGCUCUUUUCAAAACU